UAGUGGCGAACGGGUGAGUAACACGUGGGCAAUCUGCCCUUCACUCUGGGACAAGCCCUGGAAACGGGGUCUAAUACCGGAUAACACUCCUGCCUGCAUGGGCGGGGGUUAAAAGCUCCGGCGGUGAAGGAUGAGCCCGCGGCCUAUCAGCUAGUUGGUGGGGUAAUGGCCUACCAAGGCGACGACGGGUAGCCGGCCUGAGAGGGCGACCGGCCACACUGGGACUGAGACACGGCCCAGACUCCUACGGGAGGCAGCAGUGGGGAAUAUUGCACAAUGGGCGAAAGCCUGAUGCAGCGACGCCGCGUGAGGGAUGAAUGCCUUCGGGUUGUAAACCUCUUUCAGCA
rnacentral:rRNA from 1 species